UCAACCAUCAAGCCCUGCUUGGUAUUGGGUGUCGUCCCUGCUGCGGACGCUCCUUAAAGUGAUUGGCGGCGGUGUUGAACCUCAAGCGUAGUAGAAUCUCUAGCUUUUUAGGUUUGGCGUCGCUCUGCCUCGAGAAACUUUCAUCUCAA
rnacentral:misc_RNA from 1 species